CAGCCGCCGCGGUAAUACGAAGGGGGCUAGCGUUGUUCGGAAUUACUGGGCGUAAAGCGCACGCAGGCGGCUCGAUAAAUUAGAAGUGAAAGCCUUGGGCUUAACCUGAGAAUCGCUUUUAAGACUGUCGAGUUAGAAUCCAGAAGAGGGUAGUGGAAUUCCGAGUGUAGAGGUGAAAUUCGUAGAUAUUCGGAAGAACACCAGUGGCGAAGGCGACUACCUGGUAUGGCAUUGACGCUCAUGUGCGAAAGCGUGGGGAGCGAACAGGAUUAGAUACCCCAGUAGUCCCUGUCUCUUAUAC
rnacentral:rRNA from 1 species